GACGAACGCUGGCGGCGUGCUUAACACAUGCAAGUCGAACGGUGAAGGGACCGGUUUUUGCUGUUUCUGGAUGGGUGGCGGGCGGGUGACUAACACGUGAGUUACCUGCCCCCUUCUUCUGGAUUACCGCAUGAGAGUGUGACUCAUACGAGAUAUUCUUCGCCCGCUGUGUGGUGGGUAUGGUAACGGUGUUGUUUCAUUGGCGGGUGGGCUCGCGGCCUAUCAGCUUGUUGGUGGGGUGAUGGCCUAUCUAGGCGGUGCCGGGUCGCCGGCCUGAGAGGGUGGACGGCCAGACAGGGACUGCGGCACGGCCCAGACUGAUACGAGAGGCAGCAGUGGGGGAUAGUGCACAGUGGGCGCAAGCGUGAUGCGGGGGCGCCGCGGGAGCGAUGGCGGCCUUCGGGUUGUAAACCUCUUUCGCCAGUGAAGCAGGCCUGUCCCUUUUGUGGGUGGGCUGACGGUAGCUGGAGAAGAAGCGCCGGCUAACUACGUG
rnacentral:rRNA from 1 species